AUAGUUUAGGCUGGCAGAACGUGUUGAUAGACAAGGCAUCGGUUCGAUUCCGGUUGACUG
rnacentral:tRNA from 1 species